rnacentral:rRNA from 1 species
AACGUAGGAGACAAACGUUAUCCGGAGUUACUGGGCGUAAAGGGCGUGUAGGCGGUUUGUUAAGUCUGGCGUGAAAGCUCUCGGCUAAACCGGGAGAGGUCGUUGGAUACUGGCAAACUAGAGGAUGGUAGAGGCGUGUGGAAUUCCGGGUGUAGUGGUGAAAUGCGUAGAGAUCCGGAGGAACACCAGUGGCGAAGGCGAUACGCUGGGCCAUACCUGACGCUAAAGCGCGACAGCAUGGGGAGCAAACGGG